UUGUCCGGUCGCAGCUCUCUUUGAAGUUUAUUGACACCGAGCAAUUUCAAAGGCUCCGUGAGCUGAAACAACUUGCAAAUAUGCCAUAGAGAUUUGAAAUUAGAAAAUACACUUUUAGAUGGAAGUCCUGCACCUCUUUUGAAAAUCUGCGAUUUUGGUUUCUCUAAGUCAUCUCUGUUGCAUUCAAGACCCAAAUCAACAGUUAGAACUCCAGCAUAUAUAGCACCGGAAGUUCUGGCGUGGCGAGAGUAUGAUGGAAAGGGUGAUUGAAAAUGAGUAUUUAGGUCUGAGAAAUGGCAUACUGGAUCAAUCAGCCAUACUGCUUUCAAGCCAUGGUUGUCUAACUUACAUGAGCUGCAAAAUAUUGAAGGUGUAGUAGAUGAUUCAAUCUCUUCAAGCUAAAAAAGCCAAGGCUUCGCACUUCUUCAAGUGGAGUGUUAUUUAAUGUUGCAUUCCAUGGUCGUUUAUCUUAGUCGGAACUUGAAUUUUUGUAGCUACCUUGUGUACUAGCUUCUUUAACUAUGAUUGUUAAUUAUUACGUGUUUUGUAGCUUCUUUUAUAUUUGGCCGAUUUAAUAUAGAUCAAAUGAGCUGUGAGAUAGAUUGCUCAUUUAUUUAAAGAUAAUAUUUUAAUUCUAAAUUUAAAUUCAUUAAUUUUUA